AGAUCAAGAAGAUCUACGGGACCAUCCCCGGCUACGAGGGCGUGGAGAUCACCAGCCUCAAGCCCGGCAGCAUCGUGGUGGGCCACCAGGUGCUCUUCACCAUGGCCCAGAGCAGCAACACCACGGAGAAGUUCCAGGAGACCACGGACGGGCUGGUGGAGAACCUGCGGGCCGAGGUGGCCAGCCAGGGCGAGUGCCAGCACAACACCUCCGUGCUGUGCCUGGUGCUGAGAGGCAGCCCCGUGGUCGGCGACAUGAGGGAGGUGCUGGAUCUGGAUG